GGUACUAUGUUUUCAGAAAUAGCUGACUUUGAGGUACUGCAACAGCAGAGGGCACCAAUACUCCUUGGAAGCGCCAAAUAUUUAAAACCAAACCAACGAAGAAGAAGAUAGCGCCACUUCUAACGGUCCAGACAGACUCCUGCUCAGCAAGGGAGCCCAGCAGCACCCUGCGCCGAACCAACAACCUUCUCUUUCAAUGGUGGUGAUCCAAAUCAGUGUGGAGCAGAAUGCACCAUAGAGAUGUACAACUCUCCUGUUGAACACCUCAAGACUGAAGGUACACCAGAUAUAGAAGGAGUAAAGUUUGAGUCAGUUUUCAACUGUUUAAAAUAUUUUCACAUCUGUCAGCCAGGUUUGCCAUUUUGAUUAGGACACAACAUUUUUAUGGCAUUUUGUCAUAUGAUGUUGUGCUGUUUUUUGUGAAAAAAAAGAAUGGUUCACCCACUCCAUUCUGAAUCGGAGCAUUAAACAGUUUAAAUACUCUGACUCUGAUACCUCUUCAAAGCCGUGUGAGGUCAGUCCUCAAACAAACUCUCAGCACAGUUAAUACAAAACUGGAAGUUUGUAAGGCUGUUGCCUCUCAUGAUUGAUGACGUGGUGGAAUGGAAGAUGGAGCAGAUGAUUUUUACCCCACUGCAUCCAAUCACGCAUGUGCGAAGCCACUGCUGGGAUGUGAUGCGCAGCAGCAGAAGGACCUGUGAGGCUCAGUAACAGAGAUUUUAUUAGAAAACUACAGACAUUUUGCGCUGAAAAAUAUAAUUUUUUUCCCAGUGCAUCAUGAUAACUUCAUUUCAGUUUGUUUCUUUUCAUCAACAAAUAAAGGACGUUACAUAUAAGCUACUUUUUUUAUUGCUCAAAACUUGUCUGAACACAAACUGCACUUGUUGGUCCACUGUGAUGUAUGUGGCUGACGAAAACAAAUUGCUGUUAUUUUUAGGUUGUACAGUCCUGAUCAAAAGUUUUAGACCAUUUGAAAAAUGG